rnacentral:rRNA from 1 species
AUUGAACGCUGGCGGCAGGCUUAACACAUGCAAGUCGAGCGGAGAGAGGUAGCUUGCUACCGAUCUUAGCGGCGGACGGGUGAGUAAUGCUUAGGAAUCUGCCUAUUAGUGGGGGACAACAUUUCGAAAGGAAUGCUAAUACCGCAUACGUCCUACGGGAGAAAGCAGGGGAUCUUCGGACCUUGCGCUAAUAGAUGAGCCUAAGUCGGAUUAGCUAGUUGGUGGGGUAAAGGCCUACCAAGGCGACGAUCUGUAGCGGGUCUGAGAGGAUGAUCCGCCACACUGGGACUGAGACACGGCCCAGACUCCUACGGGAGGCAGCAGUGGGGAAUAUUGGACAAUGGGCGCAAGCCUGAUCCAGCCAUGCCGCGUGUGUGAAGAAGGCCUUAUGGUUGUAAAGCACUUUAAGCGAGGAGGAGGCUACUGAAGUUAAUACCUUCAGAUAGUGGACGUUACUCGCAGAAUAAGCACCGGCUAACUCUGUGCCAGCCGCCGCAGUAAAAC